rnacentral:rRNA from 1 species
CGGCGGCUUAACACAUGCAAGUCGAACGAAGUGUUGGUGCUUGCACUAACACUUAGUGGCGAACGGGUGAGUAAUACUUGGGAAUCUGCCUUGUAGCGGGGGAUAACGUUUCGAAAGGAACGCUAAUACCGCAUACGUCCUACGGGAGAAAGGAGGGGAUCUUCGGACCUUCCACUAUAAGAUGAGCCCAAGCGAGAUUAGCUAGUUGGUAAGGUAAAGGCUUACCAAGGCGACGAUCUCUAGCUGGUCUGAGAGGAUGAUCAGCCACACUGGGACUGAGACACGGCCCAGACUCCUACGGGAGGCAGCAGUGGGGAAUAUUGGACAAUGGGCGAAAGCCUGAUCCAGCCAUGCCGCGUGUGUGAAGAAGGCCUUCGGGUUGUAAAGCACUUUAAGCGAGGAGGAAUGGCUCUGGGUUAAUACCCUUGAGCAGUGACGUUACUCGCAGAAUAAGCACCGGCUAACUCUGUGCCAGCAGCCGCGGUAAUACAGAGGGUGCAAGCGUUAAUCGGAAUUACUGGGCGUAAAGCGCGCGUAGGCGGUUACGUAAGUUGGAGGUGAAAUCCCCGAGCUCAACUUGGGAAUUGCCUUCAAAACUGCGUGGCUAGAGUGUGGGAGAGGAAGGUAGAAUUCCAGGUGUAGCGGUGAAAUGCGUAGAUAUCUGGAGGAAUACCGAUGGCGAAGGCAGCCUUCUGGCCUAACACUGACGCUGAGGUGCGAAAGCAUGGGGAGCAAACAGGAUUAGAUACCCUGGUAGUCCAUGCCGUAAACGAUGUCUACUAGCCGUUGGGGGACUUGAUCCUUUAGUGGCGCAGCUAACGCAUUAAGUAGACCGCCUGGGGAGUACGGUCGCAAGACUAAAACUCAAAUGAAUUGACGGGGGCCCG